AAAAAAAAAAGGAAGACAGAUAUCAGACAUGUAAAUCAAAAGAACAGAAUAGAGAGCCCAGAAAUAAACCCUCGCACAUAUGUUCAAAUGGACGCCUUGGACAUGUAAUGUCAAGGGCACUCUUCGUUAUCUAGUUUGAAUUUUUAUUUCUGAAGAUAUUUUUGCUGUAUUUGGUCAUCUUCCUUUUGUAGUAUUCUUCUCUGCUGCAUUCAAAUUUUUUAAAGAACUAUUUGUGUCAUUCUUUAACAUCAAAAUUUAUCUUGAUAUAUAGCUUGUAUUUUGUUUCUGCUUCUUUCUUUUUCUUUUAGAUUUAAAACAUAUCAUGGAAAUUUACUCAUUUUACAUGGGUACCUCCAUUGUAUACAUGAAGUAUACAUCUUAAUAAACUUCUGUUUUACAGAAAUAAAUUUUAUAUAUAAAAAACUUUAUGAAUAACCUAAAGAAAAAGAGUAAAAUGAGCAUUCAUGUUUUGAUCACAGAUUUUUUUUUAAAAAAUGGAAUGUGUCUUUGAAGCCCUGAACACAGCUACUUUUCUAUUUAUUUACUGAGCACUUAAGUUGGUUCUCUGAUUCUAAUCAAUAUUUUUCUGUCAUUGCCUUUCUCUACAUGGUUUUGUAUCUCUCUGUUUGUUGACAUUAUGUCAGUAAAGAUCUCUAGAUCUCUUCUUCAAAGUCUUUAAAUCAUCACAUAUCUCUCUCCACCUUCCCUUUUUUCUAAAACUGCCUGUUUUCUUUUUCUCCUCAACUCAGAUAUUAAAGAUGUUUCCUUAUUUCUCUUUCUCUACAUUGAAUGAUCUCCUUGAUGCUUUUGAUAUAAGAAAUGCCUAGAAAUGACAAUAAAUAUGUUAAAUGUAUUUGGAAAUGAAGACAUGGAGACUUAAAUACAGAUCAACUGAAAAUGGAUAUUCUGUUUAAGAAGCUAAAACAGAAGCCUCACCCUGCAGGAAUUCUAGUGACUAUAUUGCCACCAUCUUGGAGCUCCGUGCCCUCAUAGUGUAAUGGCACCAGCAGAUCUGCCUGUGCACUGACUUCCUGUACUACCUCACUCCAGAGGGGUGAUGCUUCUGCAGGGCCUAUGACCUGGUGCACUACUUUAGACACCAUCAUCCUGGAGCAGCACUGCACCCUCACUAGCCAGGGAUUUGAUGACUUCCUCAAGGCCAAGGCCACAUUCAAGACUUUGGACUUCAGUGAUACACUUGUGCUGGGCAAGGCUGUGUUUCUGCUCAUUGCUGGAGGUGCUGUCAGGGGCCCUGCCCUCAACCCCAGGUCUGACCCUUGCAGUGCAGGCAGGACAUUCCGGGGGAAUCAUGUCCUUGAAAGGAGCCCCGAGGAGUGACUGAUGUUUCCUGGGAUUAACACCCUAAGGAAGAACUGGCAGUAGAAUUACUGUCCUAGAGUCAUCUCCAAAUAAAAUUUUUGUAUUUGAAUCUUUGCCUCAGGAUCUACUUCAAGGAAACUCAAAUUUUUAGGUGAAAAACCUGGAGCAAAGAGCAACACAGGAAGUUUCCAAAAUUCACCCUGCUGGUCCAGGUUUGAACCAAGCAGUCUGCACCUGGAAUCCUUGUUUGUAACCAUGGCACCAUGGCUUCUCACACGUCUCAUAGUGGAGUUCUACCAUGUGUCAGGCAUGGCACUGAGCAGUUUCUUUUAAAAACAUAAUUUGUAAUUAGGUAGAUUACUAAUUCUACCUCAGAAUGCCACACAGCCUUCAUGUGAUCAAAGGAAACAAUUGGAUUCCUGUUUUUAUUUUCCUCCUAACCAGCUCAUGUGAUCUCCUGGGAUCUCUACUUAAGAUGCUGGCAGGCCGGCCAGCUGGUCUGGCCCUGGAUGUGCCUUCAGGGGCUAGUUAUUCUUCAUGACCUGUGUUGUGAUCCUGGUCAGAGUAAAACAUUCCCUGGGAACUUGCACUGUGAGAAACAUCCUAACCACCUGACUGCAGAAACAUCCUUACCACAUUCUGCUGGGCAAAGGCCCAAAAGCCUGACUGCAGGAACAUCCUUAUCAUCUUCUACUGGGCAGCAAGCUAUGCUACCCAGAGCCCUCCCUCCCAGCCCUAUGAUUACCCCAGCCUGUGAGCGGCAGCGGGCCCUGACACUAAGGUGGUUUCCUCCUCCGCAGGGUUUUGCUAGUAAUAAACCUGUGUUGCUGUUGAAGCUGCCAACUCUC